GUGUUUCUGUGGUUCAUAAGUGUGACUGCUGGGUUUUCACGUGUGGGGUAAGCCUCCCUCAAGCCUUGUUACGACACUGGCAUAUUGCCUGUCGGAUG
ensembl:snoRNA